AUGUUUUUCAUGCGACUGAAAGGCACGUUGUGCUUGUGUGACGAGGGGCGAAACCGCUGCUGGAACCAACCUGCGUGUCUUUGGCGUCCGGGUUGGUUGGUGACAGCCACAGCUGCACGCUCUAAUCCGAAGAUCCUUUUGCAUCAUGGCUCGGAAUGGCCAAAGCUGGUAAACAGAUUCAGAAGGAUGUAUUGGUACUUUUUUUUUCAUAUGUUUAAUCUUGGGGCUAGCCAGCGCAACAAGGGCUCACAUGAACGUCUCACUGAGCUCAACAAGAAUUUUAGUGAUGAUCAGAAAAAUAUUGCCCGGAAAUAUGGGGAUGCUUUCAUUGAUGAACUAUCACACAAACCUAAACAACCCCGUGUGCGUCUGGCUUGGGAAGAUUUAUGA
rnacentral:rRNA from 1 species